rnacentral:guide_RNA from 1 species
AUAUUUAUUUUAAUUUCUAAAUUGCUACGUGAUUAUGUAUAGUAUGAUGAA